rnacentral:rRNA from 1 species
UACGGGAAGGGCAAGCGUUAUCCGGCGUGACUGGGCGUAAAGAGUCCGUAGACGGUAAAGUAAGUUUAUUGUUAAAUUUUAAAACCUAAUUUUAAGAAGGCAAUAAAUACUGCUUUACUUUGAGUUUAAUAUAGAAAAGUGGAAUUUUAUAUGGUAGGGGUGAAAUCCGUAGAUCUACGAAGGAACGCCAAAAGCGAAGGCAGCUCUCUGGGUCCCUACCGACGCUGGGGUGCGAAAGCAUGGGGAGCGAACAGG